CGAGACAGCAACAGCACCACCAGCAGCAGCAAUUUCCUUUCCUUUCACUAUUUUAAUUUUCCCUUCGCGUUUCCAGAAAAGUAAAAGCUCCUCCCUCCAGUCUUGGAUCCUAACAAUGGAUCUUCUCCAAAACUACCAAAACGACGGAGAAUUAGACCAAAACCCUAAUUCCUCUCCGGAUUCAUCCCCUCCACGUCUCCUCCCUUCCAAAUCCGCCGCUCCCAAAGUCGACGACACCAUGCUAGCCCUAACAGUAGCCAAUCAAAUGCUCUCUAAACCUAUCGACCCCGUCCAGCACGUCGUCGCUUUCAACCCUACCUACGACCAGCUGUGGGCUCCGGUUUUAGGCCCCGCCCAUCCCUACGCCAAGGACGGCAUUGCCCAGGGCAUGCGCAACCACAAGCUCGGCUUCGUCGAGGACGCCGCCAUUGAUUCCUUCGUCUUCGACGAGCAGUACAACACUUUCCACAAGUAUGGCUACGCGGCUGACCCCUCUGCUUCUGCAGGUAAUAAUUAUAUUGGUGAUUUGGAUGUUUUAGAAAAAAAUAAUGGGAUUUCUGUUUAUAAUAUUCCGCAACAUGAACAAAAGAAGCGAAAGAUUGAGAAGAAAACGGAAGCUGUUGAGGAUGACGAUGAUGGAAUGGACAAGGAAGAGGUUGAGAAUCCGGCUACGGAUGCGUGGUUGAUGAAGAAUAGGAAGAGCCCUUGGGCUGGUAAGAAGGAGGGAUUACAAACUGAGUUGACUGAAGAGCAGAAAAAAUAUGCGGAAGAGCACGCGAGGAAGAAGGAGGAGAAAGCUGGUGGUGAAAAAGGUGAGCUUGUUGCUGAUAAGACUACUUUUCAUGGUAAAGAAGAGAGGGAUUAUCAAGGGAGGUCGUGGAUUGCGCCACCUAAAGAUGCUAAAGCUAGUAAUGAUCAUUGUUAUAUACCCAAGAGAUUGGUGCAUACAUGGAGUGGCCAUACUAAAGGAGUUUCUGCUAUAAGGUUUUUCCCUAAACAUGGCCAUUUGAUACUUUCUGCGGGUAUGGAUACGAAGGUGAAGAUAUGGGAUGUGUUUAAUUCGGGAAAGUGUAUGAGAACUUAUAUGGGUCAUUCUAAGGCUGUCAGGGAUAUUUCAUUUUGUAACGAUGGCUCCAAGUUUUUAACUGCUGGUUAUGAUAAGAAUAUUAAGUACUGGGACACAGAGACGGGCCAGGUUAUCUCUUCGUUUUCGACUGGGAAGAUUCCAUAUGUUGUUAAGCUCAAUCCUGAUGAUGAUAAGCAGAAUAUAUUGUUGGCGGGUAUGAGUGAUAAGAAGAUUGUGCAGUGGGAUAUGAACACAGGGCAGAUUACUCAGGAGUAUGACCAGCAUUUGGGGGCAGUGAAUACCAUCACAUUUGUGGAUAAUAACAGGAGAUUUGUUACUUCAAGUGAUGAUAAAUCACUCCGUGUAUGGGAAUUUGGGAUCCCUGUUGUUAUUAAGUAUAUUAGUGAGCCUCACAUGCAUUCUAUGCCAUCGAUCUCUCUUCAUCCCAAUAUGAAUUGGCUUGCUGCGCAGAGUUUGGAUAACCAGAUUCUUAUUUAUAGUACUAGGGAAAGAUUCCAGUUGAAUAAGAAGAAGAGGUUCGCUGGUCACAUUGUGGCUGGUUAUGCUUGUCAAGUCAAUUUCUCACCAGAUGGAAGAUUUGUUAUGUCAGGAGAUGGUGAGGGUAAAUGCUGGUUUUGGGACUGGAAGAGUUGUAAAGUUUUCAGGACCCUCAAAUGUCACGAGGGAGUCUGCAUUGGGGCUGAGUGGCAUCCGCUGGAGCAAAGUAAAGUGGCCACUUGUGGCUGGGAUGGAUUGAUUAAAUACUGGGACUAGUUGCUUUCAGAUCUGACUUGGCACAUAUAUCAGUUGAGCAACCCACUUCAUACACCCUGCCAGAGAGAGACUACAGAUAUCCUGCUGAAUAGAUGAGUGGAAGAACCAAACUAGUUUCUUCUAUCCAGAAAUUUAUGUGCAGCAAUUGGUGAGAAUUGAUUGAGGACCAUUGAGAAACUCAUCCCAACGUUUGCAACCUGCAGGUUAUCUUUCUAGCAUUAGAUGUCGACAAGCAUGAAAACAUAAAAUCAGACCAUCUGGAACUCGACUUGCAGAGUUAUGUUUAGAUAUACAAAUACAAUUUCCGAUUGCUGCAGAGGACAUCGGACUCGUAGAUUUUAGCAGCCUUGCUCACAUUCCACUGCAGGCAAGAACUAGAAAUGAACUAUAACAUCUGGAUUUUACAAGUUAAAACAAUAACUUGGGAAUACACAAGUCAUAUCAGUGGUAUUCUCAUUCAUUAUUCUUCUGUAUGCUAAAGCCGGGAAAAUAUAGUUAUUAUAAAAAUGAAAAGGCACCUCAAUCAGGCCAGUCAAUAAUGUAAAGCUGAUUCGGCCACUCCUCCAAGCUCAAACCAACACCCGGUGUGCAAGAUGAUGAUGACGGUUCAUGAGCAGAACUUUUUUGAAUCGCCAUUGACAAUAAAAUCAAAUCAGUGUAACAGUAGUGGCUUCCCACUUGUGGGCAAAGCCACCAUUCUUAGCGCAUUCUCUGUCUAAACCCAAGGAAGACAAGAAUUAUGAUGGAAUAUAAUUAGUGUCUGCUGUAUGAAACAGGAUCCUCAUGAAGAUACCACCACCUGCAGAGUCUUUCAGCUUGUGGCAUUCAGUUUCUGUUGAAGGAUCUUGUUCAGAAGUCCUGGAUUGGCCUUACCUUUUGAUAAUUUCAUCACCUGCAAAUGAAUCAGCGUUCAGAAUUAUCCCAAUCUACUAAAGCAUAAUCAGGGGAAAAUAAAUUACAUGAAGGUUCGUCUUAUAACUUGUAAUGGUUUGUAUACCUGGCCAGCUAAAAAACCUUGUAUCUUAGUUUUUCCGGCUCGGUAUUGUUCCAACUGCUUUGGGUUCUCUGAAAGCACUUUAUCUACCAUCUUCUCAAUAUGAGCAGGAUCUACUAUCUGUUAUAUUGAAACAUGUGAGAAACCCACCUAUUUGAACUAAAAUAGUGUUCCUCUCCUGAUUUCCAUACAACAUUUAUGCCAUAUUCAAUCACUGAAAUUACACUCAUCUCACUGUUAGAUGUGUUAAGAAACUGAACCACAGAUAAAGCUUGGCUUGGCUUGGCGGACACCUCCUCCAGCCUUUUCUACAACCAUAGAGCACAUUGCAUUUUCAAGCUAAGCUUCUAAGCUUUGCCAACACCAUGACCAACUCAUUAGACAAUUGAAGCACAAAGGUAAUCGACAAUUGAAGCACUAAGGUAAUCGAUCACACAGCUGAAUGAUUUAUUAUUUGUUGGCACCUUUUAAAGAGAGUAAAGGUGGAAACUUUAUUAGAAGAUUCAACAAACUCAGCUUUUCUUCACGUCUCUGGUUCUCAACACCAUGCUAGACCAAGAAGGCUUGUAAGGAAAUGACACAAUCAUGCAGCUGCGCUUCCAGUUAAUUUGUUUAUUUCUGCCGUUUGGCAUAGUAAAGGCAAUCACAUUUAUUUUUUA